rnacentral:rRNA from 1 species
AUUGAACGCUGGCGGCAGGCCUAACACAUGCAAGUCGAACGGUAACAGGAAACAGCUUGCUGUUUCGCUGACGAGUGGCGGACGGGUGAGUAAUGUCUGGGAAACUGCCUGAUGGAGGGGGAUAACUACUGGAAACGGUAGCUAAUACCGCAUAACGUCGCAAGACCAAAGAGGGGGACCUUCGGGCCUCUUGCCAUCGGAUGUGCCCAGAUGGGAUUAGCUAGUAGGUGGGGUAACGGCUCACCUAGGCGCCGAUCCCUAGCUGGUCUGAGAGGAUGACCAGCCACACUGGAACUGAGACACGGUCCAGACUCCUACGGGAGGCAGCAGUGGGGAAUAUUGUACAAUGGGCGCAAGCCUGAUGCAGCCAUGCCGCGGGGAGGAAGAAGGACUUCGGGUUGUAAAGUACUUUCAGCGGGGAGGAAGGGAGUAAAGUUAAUACCUGUACUCAUUGACGUUACCCGCAGAAGAAGCACCGGCUAACUCCGUG